UAAGCUCCGUUGGUCGAGAGGGAAACAGCCCAGAUCGCCGGUUAAGGCCCCUAAGGGUGUACUAAGUGGAAAAGGAUGUGGGAUCGCGAAGACAGCCAGGAGGUUGGCUUAGAAGCAGCCAUCCUUGAAAGAGUGCGUAAUAGCUCACUGGUCGAGUGGUUCUGCGCCGACAAUGUAGUGGGGCUCAAGUACACCGCCGAAGCCGCGGCAGUCAACAAUUUUGUUUUGUUGGUUGGGUAGGGGAGCGUCGUGCACUGCUGUGAAGCACCUGGGUGACUUGAUGGUGUGGAGUGUGUGCGAGUGAGAAUGCAGGCAUGAGUAACGAAUGAAAAGUGGAAAACUUUUCCGCCGGAUGACUAAGGGUUCCUGGGUUAAGCUAAUCUUCCCAGGGUGAGUCGGGACCUAAGGCGAGGCCGACAGGCGUAGUCGAUGGAUAACCAGUUGAUAUUCUGGUACCCGUGUAUGUGCGCCCAGUGGUGAAUCAGUGGUACUAACCAUCCAUGGAUCUGCUGGUCAUGCUUUGUGUGUGGUUGGUGGUGAUGUGCGUGGGAUCUUCGUUGGUAGUAGCCAAGUGAUGGGGUGACGCAGUGAGGUAGCUGAGCCAUUUAUUGGAUUGUGGUGUAAGCGUGUGGCCCGUGGCAUAGGUAAAUCCGUGUCGCAUAUUUGGGUGAGGCGUGAUGCGUAGACCUUUGUGGUUGAUGUUGGUGAUCCUGUACUGUCGAGAAAAGCCUCUAGCGAGUGCAUAUAUGGCCCGUACCCAUAACCGACACAGGUGGUCAGGUAGAGAAUACUAAGGCGAUCGGGUGAACUGUGGUUAAGGAACUCGGCAAAUUGCCCCCGUAACUUCGGGAGAAGGGGGACCAUUGCUGGUGACCGACGUGGUUGAGCUGGUGGUGGUCGCAGAGAAUAGAGGGAAGCGACUGUUUAUUAAAAACACAGGUCCGUGCGAAAACGUGGAAGUUGAUGUAUACGGACUGACGCCUGCCCGGUGCUGGAAGGUUAAGAGGACCUGUUAGGGCAUUGUUGUCCGAAGCGGAGAAUUUAAGCCCCAGUAAACGGCGGUGGUAACUAUAACCAUCCUAAGGUAGCGAAAUUCCUUGUCGGGUAAGUUCCGACCUGCACGAAUGGCGUAACGACUUCCCUGCUGUCUCAACCACAGGCCCGGUGAAAUUGCAGUACGAGUAAAGAUGCUCGUUACGCGCGGCAGGACGAAAAGACCCCGGGACCUUCACUAUAGCUUGGUAUUGGUGUUUGGUUCGGUUUGUGUAGGAUAGGUGGGAGACUGUGAAGUGGUCACGCUAGUGGUUGUGGAGUCGAAAGUUGAAAUACCACUCUGAUCGGAUUGAGCACCUUAACCUUGGCCCAUGAUCUGGGUUGGGGACAGUGCCUGGUGGGUAGUUUAACUGGGGCGGUUGCCUCCUAAAGUGUAACGGAGGCGCCCAAAGGUUCCCUCAGCCUGGUUGGCAAUCAGGUGGUGAGUGUAAGUGCACAAGGGAGCUUGACUGUGAGACUGACAGGUCGAGCAGGGACGAAAGUCGGGACUAGUGAUCCGGCACCUACUUGUGGAAGUGGUGUCGCUCAACGGAUAAAAGGUACCCCGGGGAUAACAGGCUGAUCUUCCCCAAGAGUCCAUAUCGACGGGAUGGUUUGGCACCUCGAUGUCGGCUCGUCGCAUCCUGGGGCUGGAGUAGGUCCCAAGGGUUGGGCUGUUCGCCCAUUAAAGCGGCACGCGAGCUGGGUUUAGAACGUCGUGAGACAGUUCGGUCUCUAUCCGCCGCGCGCGUUGAAACUUGAAGAAGGCUGUCCCUAGUACGAGAGGACCGGGACGGACGUACCUCUAGUGUGCCAGUUGUCACGCCAGUGGCAGGGCUGGUUGGCUACGUACGGGAGGGAUAACCGCUGAAAGCAUCUAAGCGGGAAGCCUGUUUUGAGAUGAGGUUUCUUUUGAGGUUCCCUCUAGACUAGGGGGUUGAUAGGCCAGAUCUGGAAGCGUAGUAAUGCGUUAAGGUGACUGGUACUAAUUUUACCGAGUAAUAACA
rnacentral:rRNA from 1 species